UUUUGUGAAAAAUAGAUUAAGUGAAAAAUAAUAGUUAAGAUGAGAGAUUCGGGGUAAGUAAACUUGUGAGAAAAAAUACUUCUAUUAAUGACAAAUAAGCAAUACGAGAACUAAUGAUGAGAAAUAGAGGUGGAGAACAAGUGUUGAGACCUCCACUAAUGUCACAAGAGGAUGAAUGAGCUUUGUUUAAAGUGGACAGGGGUUGGUUAAUGGUUGUUGAGUGUUUUGGUGGAACACCAGAACACCAAUUUUUACUCGUAAAGGUGGUGAAUGAAAUGAAGAACAAUGAAAGGAAAUUUGGGUAGAGGAAAAGAUGGAUUUUUUAGCUUCUUAGCUUCAGAAGUCAGAAAGGUCUAGAAGAAGGUGAAGGUGAAAGUGAAAAAUAGUGAAAGUGAAGGUGAAAGUCUGGUUGAAGGUCUGUGAAGAAGAAGGUGAUCAAGGUGAAAGUGAAAAGUGAGAGUGCUUUACAGAGGUGGCUUGAGGUCCUUUUUAUAGUGUAAAACCAUGAUGAAGAGGAAAUCUAUUGUCCAAUGGUUUUAGUCUGAUAUUUGGUUUACUGCUUUUUCCAAAAUAUCUUUAGGUAUUU